GAUGAACGCUGACAGAAUGCUUAACACAUGCAAGUCUACCAAGAAUCACUUCGGUGAGGAAUGGUGGCGGACGGGUGAGUAACGCGUAAAUAAUCUGCCCUUUAGACUGGGAUAUCCUUUGGAAACGAAGGUUAAUACCGGAUAUUAUGAGAUGGACGCAUGUUCAACUUAUGAAAGCUAAAUGCACUAGAGGAGGAGUUUGCGUCCCAUUAGCUAGUUGGUGAGGUAAAGGCUCACCAAGGCCACGAUGGGUAGCCGGCCUGAGAGGGUGAACGGCCACAAGGGAACUGAGACACGGUCCUUACUCCUACGAGAGGCAGCAGUGGGGAAUAUUGGACAAUGGACCAAAAGUCUGAUCCAGCAAUUCUGUGUGCACGAUGAAGGUCUUCGGAUUGUAAAGUGAUUUCAGUAGGGAAGAAAAAAAUGACGGUACCUACAGAAGAAGCGACGGCUAAAUAUGUGCCAGCCGCCGCCGUAA
rnacentral:rRNA from 1 species